rnacentral:rRNA from 1 species
CUCCUACGGGAGGCAGCAGUGGGGAAUAUUGGACAAUGGGCGAAAGCCUGAUCCAGCAAUACCGCGUGUGUGAAGAAGGCCUUCGGGUUGUAAAGCACUUUAAGUUGGGAAGAAAAAGCUUCACCUAAUACGUGGAGCCUUGACGGUACCGACAGAAUAAGCACCGGCUAACUCUGUGCCAGCAGCCGCGGUAAUACAGAGGGUGCUAGCGUUAAUCGGAUUUACUGGGCGUAAAGCGUGCGUAGGCGGGUUGGUAAGUCGAUUGUGAAAAGCCCCGGGCUUAACCUGGGAAUUGCGGGCGAUACUGUCAGACUCGAAAACGGUAGAAGGAGGGGGGACUCCAGGUGUAGCGGGGAAAGCGUGAUAUCUUGAAGAACACCGAUGGCGAAGGCAACCCUCUGGGCCCGUUUUGAC